CGCGUGACUUGGCCGGUCGGGAUUGGGAUUUAGUUGCGUGAGGAGAGCAAGGGGAAGAAAAACCACCCGCCGCCGAGGGGUCGCCGUCGUGUUGCCGAGGGGUCGCCGCCGAGGGGUUGCGGCCUGCUGGCCUCCGGCCUGCCUCUCCGGCCUGCCUGUCGACUACCGAGUUGGGGGUAUCGGGGACGAGGGAAGGGCAAGCAACUCCGCCGUCGGCCGACCCGCCGGUGAAGGACGAGCUGCGUCUAGGCGGAGGACGAGCUGCUGCUGCCCGGUAGAGGCUACUGCCACUGUCUCCCUCAGGGGGAGAAUGAGCUGCCACUGGUCGCUGCUCCGUCAGGGGAAGGACGAGGUGCGGAGGUGCGGCAUGGCGAGCACGAGACGAGACGAGACGAGGUUAGCCCGUCGAGAGUGGUGCCAAGUCUCAGUUCAACAUCCGAUGAUCGCGUUACAGAAGUCAGCCUAGUCCCCGAAGCAGACGUCGUCGUUGGUGUUGACCAUCUUGUUCUUUUCUACGUCGGACCCUCGUACGAAAUGGUUAAUGACUACUCAAAUCCUGGUUCUUGUCUCAACCCACGUUUAUAACGAACUUGAAAAUAUUACCACCGUAAUGUUCUAACUUCUUCGUGAACCGACCUGACUCCUUCCUGACACAUGGAACGUGCGUCCAAGGACUAGUACAAUCUCUCGUUUACUCACGUAACUAUCGACUCUUACUAUUUUUCUUCCUAUUUAGUGAUUUGUUUUACAACCGCGACGCUCUCCUCCAGUCCCCCUACAUACUAGUCCCACCCUUACUCCUACUUCUAACACUUUAACAACUCAAAAGAGGACGACGUUCACCUUCGAGAGUUGAAGGAUUCUUCGGAGACUAGUUCCCAGGUUACCUGUCCAUAGCACGUGCCGGUCCUCGUCCCUUUGUUUGUUGCCACUUACGAGUAAUGUUCUAGUUUCUUCGUUUCUGUUGAAUACUAAUAUAGACGCUCAAGAAGUAACUCCCACGGGAACGUGUAUUAGAACGAUCAGAAUUUAGUAAACGAGCUUACCACCUUCGUUAACCUGUCAAACCAGGUCCUAACUUCGGUGGCUGUGGAAUAGUCGAACGGUUGGGAAACAACUUCUAUGUUCAAUCGUUCCAUCUACUUUACAACUUCCAGGUUUUCCUCCGUACCCAACGAUGACCUACGAGAUAUUACUGACUACGAACCUGUCUAGCAGCUCCUUCCUCGAAUUACUUAAACCAACGGGUAAGAAGGUCUCCGCACACAAAGGAGGCACGGUAACUUCGAAGUUACCUCCAAGUGCUACGGUUCAAGUAGAAGUCGAACCAGUACAGAACGUAAAGACUUUAACCACGACUUUUCUAACAAGUUCAUCAGUGCCUGUUACGUUCAUUGUUAUAACGUCGUCGGUUUAAUGAAUUCGUCUUCGUAGGAGUUUAUAAGACCUGGAGUACACGCCGGGUGUGUUAGUUGGAUUACGAGGUUCUGUAACCUUUAUAUGGGUAUCAGUCGAGUUGUUAAUGGUUACCAUUCUGGUAGUGUUUAAAGAAAAUACGUGUGUGAUCUAACAACCGAUAAGAAGCGUUCAUACGGUUUCCACUAAAUCAGUCUCGACCACGAUGAGCUAAACGUUCAGUGAUGAACUUGAACUUCUCAAACAUACCCUUCUCCUUCGUCGACUUCGAUUACAAACGUAGUUUACUAACCCGACCGCCAUCAAUACGAUUCUUCGGUAACCCGUUUACACACAUGUUCGAGCAUUACCUGUUAUUCAAAACCCGGUUCUAUUUGGACGAUCACUUAAUAAAACUCGGUGAACGGUUACACGAAUCCGCCCAACUACCUCUGUGAGGUCGGUACCCCAAGAAUAUACCACUAGAAGAGGUUCGUUUCGUCCUUUAUCGUCAGGCCGAGUUGGUACAACUCUUUUUUAUACCAGGAUAAACCCUCUAGUAUCUAUCUUCCACCCUAUUGUUCUACUUUUGUCGCGAUGUGUUUCGACCAAUAAAAAACUUGGGAAAGAAGAUGAUACUAUCUGUCUCACUUUACCGACUUCUUCUAAAGUACCUUCGUCAGUAUCUCACACGUAGACAAUACAUGUUUUUAUUGUAUCUCCACGUUCUGUUAUAACAGAGGGUCGAAUCAAUAAUAUGACUUCGGUAUCUAAGUAAACCUUGACUGUACCGGUAAUCUGUUGCGUUUCAUCGUUGAUAGUGAGGACGUUCUACCACCUGGCACGUACCUUGAAGACGUUUCCUGAACUUCUUCUACCGAUAAUCUUAGAACUCGAAUUGAACAUCAAGAAGCCGUACACUUUCUUUAACCAGACGUAAACUCUCCCAUGUAAGUUUCUUCUCCUGGUCUGAUCCGGUCUUCUUCAACUUACUAGAACAAAUACACUACAAGUUGUUCUCCGACCUGAGCUUCAUGAGACUCUCCCUUUCCCUGGGUGACGAACGUUUUAUGUAACUUCUACUAGGUGGUUUACUCACCUACAACCUACUUCUCGAUGAUGUUCUACUACUCAGUAGACUUCUACUUCGACUUUAACUCUAGUUAAGUUUCCCCUUUGUUUUUAGACAUCGAAGUUCUUGAUCUCCGUUUUCUCGAGCAUGUUUAGUUCUACAGCUUCUACUCCUCCUUCUCCUCCUUCACCGUCUUCUUCUCCUUUACCUUCUUCUCCUACUCUUGGUUCUUCGACUCCUCCUGUUACUACUUCUGGUUCUUCACCUGUAGCUAGACUGACAACUUCUACUUCUCCUACUACUUACUGAACUUAGAACGAAGAAUGUACUAGACUGAACUUAGACAAAAUAACACGUACUACCAGCACCGGACUGCCACAGCACGUGAGAACAACAGUGAACAGUUGAAACAAUUACACAGUACGUGAGUAAAGACAAAAAUUAAGACACUACCUACCUACCAUUAAUCCAGUACCGAACUACCCACAUCUGAUGCUUCAGACUUGAAUAAAUAAACUACUACUCACGGAUACUUGGUUUAUACGACCACCAACAACAAACUAUAGUACUAUACCAAUCGACAAACGUAUUAAGACAAGUUAAGUUCACGAAUGUACCAACGUACCAAUGAUGAAUGUACCAACUUAUAAAGGACUACCUGGUUAAUAAGUUAAGUUCACAGUAUAACAAAAGUUGACUAAUCUUUAUAUGUAUUAUUAUACAUUAAACGUUCACGAAAAUGUUUUCGCGAUACGCCCGCGUAUCGCAGGCGUUAUAGUGGGCGAUAGGCAUAAGGCGAUGCGGCUGGAGUUAGGCGAUAGUAGGGCGAUAGGCGAUAAACUUUG
rnacentral:rRNA from 1 species